UCGAGGGGCAGCAUAUAGAUUGCUUGCAAUUUAUGAUGGCGACCGGCGCACGGGUGAGUAACGCGUAUCCAACCUACCCAUUACUAGGGAAUAACCCAGCGAAAGUUGGCCUAAUGCCCUAUGUAGUCGUUUGAUCGCCUGAGAUUUCGACGAAAGAUUUAUCGGUAUUGGAUGGGGAUGCGUCUGAUUAGCUUGUUGGCGUGGUAAAGGCCCACCAAGGCAACGAUCAGUAGGGGUUCUGAGAGGAAGGUCACCCACAUUGGAACUGAGACACGGUCCAAACUCCUACGGGAGGCAGCAGUGAGGAAUAUUGGUCAAUGGGCGAGAGCCUGAACCAGCCAAGUAGCGUGCAGGAUGACGGCCCUAUGGGUUGUAAACUGCUUUUAUAUGGGAAUAAAGUGAGGGACGUGUCCCUUAUUGCAUGUACCAUACGAAUAAGGACCGGCUAAUUCCGUGCCAGCAGCCGCGGUAAUACGGAAGGUCCAGGCGUUAUCCGGAUUUAUUGGGUUUAAAGGGAGCGUAGGCUGUUUGUUAAGCGUGUUGUGAAAUGUAGGAGCUCAACUUUUAGAUUGCAGCGCGAACUGGCAGACUUGAGUGCGCACAACGUAGGCGGAAUUCAUGGUGUAGCGGUGAAAUGCUUAGAUAUCAUGA
rnacentral:rRNA from 1 species